rfam:Solanum tuberosum cultivar DM 1-3 516 R44 scf00034_8, whole genome shotgun sequence.
AUACUUAUCUAGACGAGGUCAAUGGUCGAUCAAAAAGGCUCAACGACCUAGGCUAGUGACCUUCAUUGCACUUUGAAGGAGCAUCCAACUAAAGUAUGCCCAAGUGGUCGAGUCUAUAUCAUAAUUUGUGGUCAAGUUUUAUAAAAUUA